rnacentral:rRNA from 1 species
UACAGAGGGGGCAAGCGUUGUUCGGAAUUACUGGGCGUAAAGGGCGCGUAGGCGGCCUGCUAAGUCGAACGUGAAAUCCCCGGGCUCAACCCGGGAACUGCGCCCGAUACUGGCAGGCUUGAAUUCGGGAGAGGGAUGCGGAAUUCCAGGUGUAGCGGUGAAAUGCGUAGAUAUCUGGAGGAACACCGGUGGCGAAGGCGGCAUCCUGGACCGAAAUUGACGCUGAGGCGCGAAAGCCAGGGGAGCAAACGGG